UUGAGAUAAUUGAUCGAUAUUUGCGUGCUUUAGAGUCGGGUUGUUUGGGAUCGCAGCCCAAAGUCGGUGGUAAACUUCAUCUAAGACUUAAUAUUGCCACGAGACCGAUAGCAAACAAGUACUGUGAAGGAAAGUUGCAAAGCACUUUGAAGAGAGAGUUAAAGAGGACGUGAAACCGGUAAGGUGGAAACGGAUAGAGUCGGCGUAUCAUUCAAUUAUUCAGUUACAUUAUUUUUAUGUUGUGACCUCUGAGCUCCAGAUUGGGACAGAGGGAAUCAGCAUAAUUUUUUGUGGUGCAUUUACUUGAUUGGUGCUUGGGGAUGUUUGAGGCAGAUUUGUUUCCGUCGUUUUGAGGCCAGCUUGCUGGUACCCAAACGGUGUUAGCAUUUUUUGUCUUGGGCAUUUGAGUAUGGCUCACGUGUAUUUAUUGGACAGAUCUGAGUGUAAGUUACGGUCGCAUGCGACACGUGCUUUUCAAUUAGUUCGGUCCAGUUAAUGCUCUCGUACUCGUUCCCCAUGUAAAAGCCGGUCAUCUAUCCGACCCGUCUUGAAACACGGACCAAGGAGUUUAUCGUGUGCGCAAGUUUUUGGGUGUUAAAAACUUAAAAGCGAAAUGAAAGUAAAUGACUCUUUAGAGUCUGAUGUGCGAUCUUGUAAAAAAGUGUAGCAUGGCCCCAUUCUAACUGUUUACAGUAGGGUGGCGGAAGAGCGUACGCGGUGAGACCCGAAAGAUGGUGAACUAUUCCUGAGCAGGACGAA
rnacentral:rRNA from 1 species